CCUUUAAUGGAGAGUUUGAUCCUGGCUCAGGACGAACGCUGGCGGCGUGCCUAAUACAUGCAAGUCGAGC
rnacentral:rRNA from 1 species